rnacentral:rRNA from 1 species
CGGGACGGGUGAGUAACGCGUGGAUAACCUGCCUUUCACAGGGGGAUAACAGCUGGAAACGGCUGCUAAUACCGCAUGAGCCUCUUUUGUCGCAUGAGAAGAGAGGGAAAGAGAAAUCGGUGAGAGAUGGAUCCGCGUCCGAUUAGCUAGUUGGAGGGGUAACAGCCCACCAAGGCGACGAUCGGUAGCCGACCUGAGAGGGUGGACGGCCACAUUGGGACUGAGACACGGCCCAAACUCCUACGGAAGGCAGCAG